rnacentral:rRNA from 1 species
AUUGAACGCUGGCGGCAUGCUUUACACAUGCAAGUCGAACGGCAGCACAGAGAAGCUUGCUUCUUGGGUGGCGAGUGGCGAACGGGUGAGUAAUAUAUCGGAACGUACCGAGUAAUGGGGGAUAACUAAUCGAAAGAUUAGCUAAUACCGCAUAUUCUCUGAGGAGGAAAGCAGGGGACCUUCGGGCCUUGCGUUAUUCGAGCGGCCGAUAUCUGAUUAGCUAGUUGGUGGGGUAAAGGCCUACCAAGGCGACGAUCAGUAGCGGGUCUGAGAGGAUGAUCCGCCACACUGGGACUGAGACACGGCCCAGACUCCUACGGGAGGCAGCAGUGGGGAAUUUUGGACAAUGGGCGCAAGCCUGAUCCAGCCAUGCCGCGUGUCUGAAGAAGGCCUUCGGGUUGUAAAGGACUUUUGUCAGGGAAGAAAAGGCUGUUGCUAAUAUCGACAGCUGAUGACGGUACCUGAAGAAUAAGCACCGGCUAACUACGUGCCAGCAGCCGCGGUAAUACGUAGGGUGCGAGCGUUAAUCGGAAUUACUGGGCGUAAAGCGAGCGCAGACGGUUACUUAAGCAGGAUGUGAAAUCCCCGGGCUCAACCUGGGAACUGCGUUCUGAACUGGGUGACUAGAGUGUGUCAGAGGGAGGUAGAAUUCCACGUGUAGCAGUGAAAUGCGUAGAGAUGUGGAGGAAUACCGAUGGCGAAGGCAGCCUCCUGGGAUAACACUGACGUUCAUGCUCGAAAGCGUGGGUAGCAAACAGG